rnacentral:rRNA from 1 species
AACGAACGCUGGCGGCAUGCCUAACACAUGCAAGUCGAACGAGACCUUCGGGUCUAGUGGCGCACGGGUGCGUAACGCGUGGGAACCUGCCCUUAGGUUCGGAAUAACUUCCCGAAAGGGGUGCUAAUACCGGCUAAUGUCUUCGGACCAAAGAUUUAUCGCCUUUGGAUGGGCCCGCGUUGGAUUAGAUAGUUGGUAGGGUAAAAGCCUACCAAGGCGACGAUCCAUAGCUGGUCUGAGAGGAUGAUCAGCCACACUGGGACUGAGACACGGCCCAGACUCCUACGGGAGGCAGCAGUGGGGAAUAUUGGACAAUGGGCGAAAGCCUGAUCCAGCAAUGCCGCGUGAGUGAUGAAGGCCUUAGGGUUGUAAAGCUCUUUUACCCGGGAUGAUAAUGACAGUACCGGGAGAAUAAGCUCCGGCUAACUCCGUG